UUUAAUCAUGCUAUUAAUUAAUUCCAAACAGAUAAUGCAUAAGAUUACUCGACUUCAAAAAAAAAAAAAAAAAGAUUACUCGACUUCUGGAAUGACACAAGGCAUGGAAUAGUAAGCUAUGUUACGGUGAGACUCUCUUCUUCCUGGAUCUUGUGGAUCUGUUAUAUCAGAAGGUCAGUAGCAGUGCUAUUUCUAUUGGAGAAUUUUCAUUUAAACAGAUUAACAUAUUUGAAAAAUUUCUUUCAAUAAUGACACAAAACAUAAAUAUAAAAAUCUGUAUUUAUUAUAGGUAGCAUAAAACAUUUUUUUGCGUCAAUUAUUGUUGUGAUUUAGGCUGAAUAAUGCCAGCUAUUUUGCUACUGUGCUGAAGUCCUCUUUUUUGAGCCUACAAUGAACCUGUAAUACUUAUGGAAAGAGUUACCAUAGCAACCUAUAUUGAUGUCACAAGCUCAGGCUUCUGACUUCAUUGCAUAAUGCAGUAGCAACUGGAUUUGCAGCAGAAACACCCUGCUAAAGAACAAGUAUCUUGGUUCACAGCAAAGAGGACAAAGGAAAACAGCAAGUUAUAGGGAGUUGAAUGCUGGAUUUGAAUCCAGGAGCUGGCCUGCUGUUUCAACAAGGUAGCCAUUUCUAAGCAAUAAAAAACCCCAAAAACCCAGAAGACAAAAAUACCCCUCCACAAACAUAAAGAAAUACUGUGGUAUUAUGGUCAUCAGAGCCUGUGUGGCACUGCCCACAAGUCCUUGGUGGGUUCUGGAGCUGUCCAAGGUUCCAAAGUUCCAGGGAGGGAGCCUGCAGCAGUCAGAGGGCUCUGGGCUCUGCUUCAACUCAGUACUGUGAGGAGCAUAAGGACAUCAUGACAUCUGGACUAACAUCCUACAGAAUUGUAGAGAAGGUCAAAUAUAAAACACAAGCAACUAUAUAUGAAAAGUGUUAUGUUUUUAUCUCCCCAAUGCUUGGAUUUUUAUUUAACAUUACAAAUAUUUUCUGAGGGAUGCGUGGGUGGCUCAGUGGUUGAGCAUCUGCCUUCAGCUCAGAGCAUGAUCCUGUGAUCCCAGGAACAAGUCCCACAUCAGGCUCCCUGCAUAGAGCCUGCUUCUCCCUCUGCCUCUGCCUCUCUCUGUGUGUCUCAUAAAUAAAUAAAUAAAUAAAAUAUUAAAAAAAAAAAAACAAAUAUUUUCUGAACAGAUCUACCAACCUAGAAAAUGUUAGUGAUCAAGAACUCUUUAAAGAAUACUGACUGUUUCAUUUAAUAUACCAAAAACUAAAAACACAAUCAUC
rnacentral:lncRNA from 1 species